AAUUGUGUGCAGAGUUACCUACUGAUGGUCCUACAGUAUUUACGGAUGGCAGUGGAAAAACAGGAAAGGCAGUAGUAGUUUGGAAAGAAGGUCAGAAAAUGGGCCAAAGUGGAUUCCAACUAAAUG